rnacentral:rRNA from 1 species
CUGGAAUCGCUAGUAAUCGCAGGUCAGCAUACUGCGGUGAAUACGUUCCCGGGUCUUGUACACACCGCCCGUCACACCAUGGGAGCCGGAAAUGCCCGAAGCCAGUGACCCAACCUUAGGGAGGGAGCUGUCGAAGGUGGAGCCGGUAACUGGGGUGAAGUCGUAACAAGGUAGC